AUACGUAGGGAGCGAGCGUUGUCCGGAAUUACUGGGUGUAAAGGGAGCGUAGGCGGGAGUGCAAGUCAGAUGUGAAAUACAUGGGCUCAACCCAUGGGCUGCAUUUGAAACUGCAUUUCUUGAGUGAAGUAGAGGUAAGCGGAAUUCCUGGUGUAGCGGUGAAAUGCGUAGAUAUCAGGAGGAACACCGGUGGCGAAGGCGGCUUACUGGGCUUUUACUGACGCUGAGGCUCGAAAGCGUGGGGAGCAAACAGGAUUAGAUAUCCUGGUAGUCCACGCUGUAAACGAUGAUUACUAGGUGUGGGGGGACUGACCCCUUCCGUGCCGCAGUUAACACAAUAAGUAAUCCACCUGGGGAGUACGGCCGCAAGGUUGAAACUCAAAGGAAUUGACGGGG
rnacentral:rRNA from 1 species